rnacentral:rRNA from 1 species
AUACGGAAGGCAGCAAUCAGGAAUAUUGCGCAAUGGGGGAAACCCUGACGCAGCGACGCCGCGUGCGGGAUGAAGGCCUUCGGGUCGUAAACCGCUGUUGUGGGAGACGAGUGACCGCCUACGGGCGGGAGGGACGGUAUCCCACGAGGAAGCCCCGGCUAACUACGUGCCAGCAGCCGCGGUAAUACGUAGGGGGCGAGCGUUGUCCGAAGUUACUGGGCGUAAAGAGCGCGUAGGCGGCCUUCUAAGUGACUGGUGAAAUCCCCGGGCUCAACCCGGGAGGGUCUGGUCAUACUGGGAGGCUAGAGUGUGGGAGAGGAAAGCGGAACUCCAGGUGUAGCGGUGAUAUGCGUAGAUAUCUGGAAGAACACCCGUGGCGAAGGCGGCUUUCUGGACCACAACUGACGCUGAGGCGCGAAAGCCAGGGGAGCGAACGGGAUUAGAUACCCGCGUAGUCCU